UGAGAAAUGUAGGGGGACCAGUGUUGCUGGUUGAGAUAGUAUGCGUUACAUACUGACCCUUGGAACCUGAACUGGUUUAGACCAGCGUAGGGAACAUAGUCAAUCGAUUA
rnacentral:ncRNA from 2 species